UGAGCAGCCGAUCUUUAUCUGAUAUACAAACUCGCGCCGAAGGCGAGAGUUUGUAUAUCAGAUAAAGAUCGGAUGCGAA
rnacentral:miRNA from 1 species